rnacentral:tmRNA from 1 species
ACAUCAGCCACCGUUAACUGGGCCACACUUGCGUCUAGAACUGUUUUUAUUCUCCCCAAGAGAGUGCUUCCAUAUUUGAGAUCUGUGGCAAGACUUACUAGAGUUGUCAUAGCUAUGGAUAGAUAUGGAGGUCUGCUUGGAGGAUUUCUCAGGGCGGUGCCGCCUGUCCAGAAGCCACUAUCGCUCACUGAUGGGAACAAAUUUAGAGAGGGCAUUAUGUCAGAAGUUGGUAAAUAUGUAUCCACCCUAGUUGAUCCUAGAAAUAUGAUGUUGGACUCUUUUCAUCACCUAAAACACAACAAGAGCCUUCAGGGAUCAUUUUUGGUGCAUGCUGGGACUGUCAGCGAUCAGGAAGUCUGUGGUACCCCCAUGUUUUGCUAUAAGGAUGGUCUUUCUAAUCCAGAGAUUGACAGAUUAUUGACACCUAUUUCUCUUACCCGCCUGACUGUGCCCAACAAUGAAAAUUCUGAUGUUUUUAGAAUAGGCAACAUAAUCUACAGCGAGGACUCUGGGCUGUUUGACAUAAUUCCCACGCUCAGAACAAGACUGAUGGAGAGAAACCUGCAUGAGGGACUUGUUUUUGUUGGUCCUCUGAUAAAGAACAUAAACAGUUCAUUUGUCAAUAAGAUAACUACUGCCAUAAAGGGAGAUACUGUUCUGAAUGAGUCACUUUCCCACGGCCUGGUUUUGAAACUUCCUGUAGAACAGUUUAUGGACUUUGAAACUACCAACACUUUUCACUACACCGGCAGGUUGCCAAUGACUCACCGAAGCUAUAUUUAUUAUGCUCUGGGCUAUGUGAUUACCGCAGACGGGACACAGAGCCUGCUUCAAAAAUUCUUUCGGACCCCGAUAGAGGGACCUGAAUUUACUCGCUUGUGUCUAGAGGACCGUGGCAGUUUAUCUGAAAAUGGCGACCCAAACCAUGGACGUGGAGCCUGUUCAGACCGUGAACGCAAUUGAUGCCGCCAUCGCCGAGCUGAAGCUGAUGGCCGGCCACAGCCAUGAAGCUAAUGUGCUGGCUGGCAGGCUGCUUCAUUUUAAGAUGAGAGAAGUUUGUACCCAGACUGUGGCUCAGUUUCUGGAUGCCUUUUCCAGCGUGUUGGAUGAAGGGCUGUGUGCCUUUAUUGGAAACUACAGCCAGAGUUUGGAUGAGAUGGUUCAGCGGUAUGUGUCUGGGGGCUUUGCGGCUGUGAAGGAAAAUGGUUAUCUGGCAGCUGCUAGGUUUUAUGACACCUAUGUGCUUAGAAAUGAUGUCAAGUAUGAGAGUGUCCCCCACAUGUUUAUGCGCAUUUCGGCAUUUUGUGCUUAUCACUGCAUACAGAAUGAGUGUCUCUUCAAGACCUUGAAGCAUAUGGAGCUAGACAGGGGGAAUGUUGUGGAGAAUGCCAUGGAUUUGAUUACUUAUUUCUUUGAGAUGAUUGCUUCUCAGCAGGUGUGCUGUGCCACGCCCGUGAUGAGAUCCGCUGGUUUGAGGGAUGCUAAUUUAAGUAGUUGUUUCAUCUUUGCCCCCGCCCUGGACUCUGAGGAAAAAACUGUGGAUGCAGUGUUUUCUGAGUUAACAAAGCUGUUGGCGUGCCCGUCAGCGUGGCUGCCUAUAUGGAGAUUUGGCAUACCAACAUCAUGGACUUUCUGACUGCGAAGCUUCCAGAGAACCCAGAACGAUGUGGCAACUUAUUUCAAGGAGUGUGCAUACCAGAGAUUUUCUUCAGAACCUACAAAAAUGAUCCAGAGUCCAAUUGGUACCUGUUUGAUCCCAAGAAGGCCGAAGUCCUAACAAACACCUAUGGGUAUAUGUUUAGUAUAGCCUACGCAGGAUUAGUGGAGCAGGGGGCAUAUGAAGCAGUGGUUCCCAUUAAGAGCGUGAUGUUCGCUCUUGUUUCCUGCAUAAUAAAGACUGGGGGGCCUUAUAUUUUGAACAAGAAAGCUAUAAACAGACAUGACUGGCAUGAAUGGUCCACACAUCAGUAUAGGGCCAUUAAUUGUGCAAAUCUUUGUGCAGAGGUGAUACAGUAUCCAGGAGAGAACGUGUCCACCUGUAACCUGGCCAAUAUCUGUCUGCCAAAGUGUUUGGAGGAUGACAAAUUUGUCUCUGGAAAGAGUUGUCUACUCACGUACGAGCGUGAGUUUUCCAUUGAGAGGCUGGAGAGGGCCACAGAGGCUGCAGUGUUUAUCAUCAAUGCCUGCAUCCAUGGUGGCACUUUACCUACACAGAGGGCCAGGCGGGGGCAGAGUGACAGGUCUAUGGGUAUUGGAGUACAAGGAUUAGCAGAUACCUUUGCUAUGAUGGGGUUGGGAUAUUUUGAUGCAGGGAGUGAGAUACUUGAUCAGAAGAUAGCAGAGACCCUGUAUUUCAAUGCACUCAAUACCAGUAUCAACUUUGUGAAGAUAGGCAAGGGGGAACCCUAUGCUAACUAUGAGCAGAGUAAGCAUUCCAUUGGGGUGCUCCAUUGGCAUGACUGGGACAUGUGUAGCCCCAUGGUCUAUACAAGAGAUGAGUGGGAAGAUUUGGCAAGGUCCUGCGAGGUACAUGGUGUAUACAAUUCACAAUUUGUGGCCUAUAUGCCUACUGCUGGCACUGGGCAAAUCACAGGUUACUCAGACUCCUUCUAUCCAUUUUAUUCAUCCAUGUCAUCCAAGGUGUCAAAUAAAGAAGAAAUCUUGCGACCCAACAUGACCCUCAUGAGCAGAAUGUCAGAUAGUGAGGUCCAGACCCUUAGGGAGUGUAACUGGGAUAUUGCCAAACUUCCAGAGCCCCUGCUGCAGAAAUAUAGAAUUUUCCUGUCAGCCUUUGAUUAUGAACCCAGCCUGUAUGUACGCAGAGCUAUGCUUAGGGCACCAUUCAUUGAUCAGAGCCAGUCUAUGACCUUGUUUUUGAAUGAAGAUUAUGCAAGCAGUGCUUCAAAUAUAAAGAAUUUGUUGAUGUAUGGGUGGGAGUGUGGGUUGAAAACCUUGAUGUACUACUGCAGAAUACGUAAAACAGCAACCUCUAACGAAUUUGAAUGUGUCAGAAGGAAUUCACAACAGAAAUAUGUAAACUGUGCUGAUGGGGAAGGUGCUGGGGGGGAGGAGCCUUCUGAAAAUUGUAUAAAGGCUGAGGGUGCGACGUGUUCACUAUCUGUGGGUGCUUCUUGUCUGCACUGUCAAUAACUGAUUGCUCUCAAUAAAAUCAGUAAAAUUUA